rnacentral:rRNA from 1 species
UGNCGCCAGCCNUACACAUGCAAGUCGAACGGUAGCACAGAGGAGCUUGCUCCUUGGGUGACGAGUGGCGGACGGGUGAGUAAUGUCUGGGAAACUGCCCGAUGGAGGGGGAUAACUACUGGAAACGGUAGCUAAUACCGCAUAACGUCGCAAGACCAAAGAGGGGGACCUUCGGGCCUCUUGCCAUCGGAUGUGCCCAGAUGGGAUUAGCUAGUAGGUGGGGUAACGGCUCACCUAGGCGACGAUCCCUAGCUGGUCUGAGAGGAUGACCAGCCACACUGGAACUGAGACACGGUCCAGACUCCUACGGGAGGCAGCAGUGGGGAAUAUUGCACAAUGGGCGCAAGCCUGAUGCAGCCAUGCCGCGUGUAUGAAGAAGGCCUUCGGGUUGUAAAGUACUUUCAGCGAGGAGGAAGGUGUUGUGGUUAAUAACCNCAGNNAUUGACGUUACUCGCAGAAGAAGCACCGGCUAACUCCGUGCCAGCAGCCGCGGUAAUACGGAGGGUGCAAGCGUUAAUCGGAAUUACUGGGCGUAAAGCGCACGCAGGCGGUCUGUCAAGUCGGAUGUGAAAUCCCCGGGCUCAACCUGGGAACUGCAUCCGAAACUGGCAGGCUAGAGUCUUGUAGAGGGGGGUAGAAUUCCAGGUGUAGCGGUGAAAUGCGUANAGAUCUGGAGGAAUACCGGUGGCGAAGGCGGCCCCCUGGACAAANACUGACGCUCANGUGCNAAAGCGUGGGGAGCAAACAGGAUUANAUACCCUGGUAGUC